AACGAACGCUGGCGGCAUGCCUAACACAUGCAAGUCGAACGAGACCUUCGGGUCUAGUGGCGCACGGGUGCGUAACGCGUGGGAACCUGCCCUUAGGUUCGGAAUAACUCCCCGAAAGGGGUGCUAAUACCGGAUAAUGUCUUCGGACCAAAGAUUUAUCGCCUUUGGAUGGGCCCGCGUUGGAUUAGCUUGUUGGUAGGGUAAAAGCCUACCAAGGCGACGAUCCAUAGCUGGUCUGAGAGGAUGAUCAGCCACACUGGGACUGAGACACGGCCCAGACUCCUACGGGAGGCAGCAGUGGGGAAUAUUGGACAAUGGGCGAAAGCCUGAUCCAGCAAUGCCGCGUGAGUGAUGAAGGCGUUAGGGUUGUAAAGCUCUUUUACCCGGGAUGAUAAUGACAGUACCGGGAGAAUAAGCUCCGGCUAACUCCGUG
rnacentral:rRNA from 1 species